GUAGGUGAACCUGCGGAAGGAUCAUUAUUGAAAUAAACCUGAUGGGUUGUUGCUGGUUCUCUAGGGAGCAUGUGCACGCCUUGUCAUCUUUAUAUCUCCACCUGUGCACCUUUUGUAGAUCUUACAGGUCUAUGUUGCCCUUUCAUUUACACCAAUGUAUGUUAAUAGAAUGUUGUGACUAUAAAUAUAUACAACUUUCAGCAACGGAUCUCUUGGCUCUC
rnacentral:misc_RNA from 1 species